ACUGUCUUUAUCCGUCCACUUUUCAAAAGCUGCUCUUUGCUCAGUAGUAGGAUAGUUUGGUAACACGAUGGGUUUCUGAUCGAGUACAUGACCUAGUUUUUCUGAGGUCAGGACAAUCCUGAGGUUUUUAAGUUAAUCUUCAUAAUUAGUUCCGAUCAAACGAUUAGUUUCAAGGAUGCGGGCUAGAACAUUUGAGGCUG
rnacentral:lncRNA from 1 species